rnacentral:rRNA from 1 species
AUACGGAGGAUCCGAGCGUUAUCCGGAUUUAUUGGGUUUAAAGGGUGCGUAGGCGGCCAUUUAAGUCAGCGGUUAAAUCGUGGGGCUCAACCCCAUUCUGCCGUUGAUACUGGGUGGCUUGAUUGCGGUCGAGGUUGGCGGAAUUCGUUGUGUAGCGGUGAAAUGCAUAGAUAUGACGAAGAACACCGAUUGCGUAGGCAGCUGACCAGACCGCAAAUGACGCUCAUGCACGAAAGUGCGGGGAUCGAACAGGAUUAGAUACCCUGGUAGUCCGCACAGUAAACGAUGAAUACUUGUUUUCGGCGAUAUAAUGUCGGAGGCAAAGCGAAAGCGAUAAGUAUUCCACCUGGGGAGUACGCCGGCAACGGUGAAACUCAAAUGAAUUGGCGGG